GCACCACAAGAACGCGUGGAGCAUGUGGCUUAAUUUGACUCAACGCGGGAAAUCUUACCGGGUCCGGACACACUGAGGAUUGACAGGCAAUAUCUCAUGUUAACGGUAAGUUUACUUACCGCUUAACAUCGAGUGUUAAAUAUGCUAGUCCUUUCAUGAUUAUGUGAUAGGUGGUGCAUGGCCGUUCUUAGUUCGUGGAGUGAUCUGUCUGCUUAAUUGCGUUUCACUAAGGGCCCAUAAAUUCAAGGUAUGUUAGCUCUCGUCGCUCUAUGGACCCCUUAACUCCAAUAUUCUUAUUGUGUUAAGCGCGUGUCUUUAUUUUAAGAGUUUUAAGACACUGCGCAUGCUGUUGGGCUCUGAAAGCAACAACGUGACCGCAACGUCUUGUUGCCUUAAACUAUCGUAUAUUGCAAUUUAUUGUAAUAUCGCUUACAGAGGC
rnacentral:rRNA from 1 species